UACAGAGGUCUCGAGCGUUGUUCGGAUUCAUUGGGCGUAAAGGGUGCGUAGGCGGCGCGGUAAGUCGGGUGUGAAAUCUCGGGGCUUAACUCCGAAACUGCAUUCGAUACUGCCGUGCUUGAGGACUGGAGAGGAGACUGGAAUUUACGGUGUAGCGGUGAAAUGCGUAGAUAUCGUAAGGAAGACCAGUGGCGAAGGCGGGUCUCUGGACAGUUCCUGACGCUGAGGCACGAAGGCCAGGGGAGCAAACGGG
rnacentral:rRNA from 1 species